UAGGGAAUCUUCCACGAUGGGCGCAAGCCUGAUGGAGCAACACCGCGUGAGUGAAGAAGGGUUUCGGCUCGUAAAGCUCUGUUGUUAAAGAAGAACACGUAUGAGAGUAACUGUUCAAUGUGUGACGGUAUCUUACCAGAAAGGAACGGCUAAAUACGUGCCAG
rnacentral:rRNA from 1 species